AUUGAACGCUGGCGGCAGGCCUAACACAUGCAAGUCGAGCGGAUGAAGGGAGCUUGCUCCUGGAUUCAGCGGCGGACGGGUGAGUAAUGCCUAGGAAUCUGCCUGGUAGUGGGGGAUAACGUCCGAAACGGGCGCUAAUAACGCCUACGUCCCGAGGGAGAAAGUGGGGGAUCUUUGGAACUUACGCUUUCAGCUGAGCCUAGGUCGGAUUAGAUAGUUGGUGGGGUAAAGGCCUACCAAGGCGACGAUCCGUAACUGGUCUGAGAGGAUGAUCAGUCACACUGGAACUGAGACACGGUCCAGACUCCUACGGGAGGCAGCAGUGGGGAAUAUUGGACAAAGGGCGAAAGCCUGAUCCAGCCAUGCCGCGUGUGUGAAGAAGGUCUUCGGAUUGUAAAGCACUUUAAGUUGGGAGGAAGGGCAGUAAGUUAAUACCUUGCUGUUUUGACGUUACCAACAGAAUAAGCACCGGCUAACUUCGUG
rnacentral:rRNA from 1 species